rnacentral:lncRNA from 1 species
UUGAUUAAUUAGAUAGGCCAGAGGGAUCGUAAUUUUUGUAGAGUUUUGUUAGAUAAUUUUUAGAUAGGUAUCAAUUGAGUGUUUGCGAGGAUGCUGCACAGUUAGGAGUGGGGCUAUGUAGAAUAAGUAGUUAUUUUUAGAAUGUAGAUACCUAAUGUAUAGUGUAAACAAGAAUAGAUAAUUGUUGAAAAGCUGGUUCAGCAGGUAAAAUGGAUGAAUAGUCAGGAAAAGUAGUUAUCAUCUGUAGUAUAGGAGUUGGUAUCUCGGGGUAGUAUAAGAAAGAUGGGAGAGGGGAAGAAAAUACUAGACUGUGAGAGUUGUGAGUCGAGGGCCAGACUGUGAGAGUUGUAAGCCGAGGGCCAGACUGUGAGAGUUGUGAGCUGAGGGCUAGAUUGCGAUAGUACUGAGCUGGGAAUAAGCUUGGUACUAUCUCUUCUUCUUAGUUUUCUUGUUUCUUUUGUGUUAGUAUUGAUUCUAAUAAAGAAAAUCGAUUUAAUGAAUUAAUGUUUGAUUUACGAAGUUAUUUAUGGAUCAUUGUUUAUCAAUUGUUGUGAAAGAUUGAGGACGUAUGGAAGUUUCCAGUCACUGUUUAUCACAAGGUUAUAAGUUUAGUGGAGAAGAAUUAUAAUCGAAGGAAUUGUCUUGAUUAGAUUCUGUAGAUUGGAAGUUGUUCAUUCCAUGGUUUGGGAUAUGCUGAUGUGUUCAUGAAUUACACAGGGUACUGAAAUCGUUGUCGUGGAUGUUAUUGUAUUGAUAUGAGAGAGUGGACAGUAGGAGGAAAAAUUAAGUGUUCUUUGGUAUAAUAAGCAUUCAGCAGUAGCGGUUAAUUGCGUGACCCUAACAAUUGGAGCUCA